rnacentral:rRNA from 1 species
UGGGGAAUAUUGCACAAUGGGUGAAAGCCUGAUGCAGCAACGCCGCGUGAGCGAUGAAGGCCUUCGGGUCGUAAAGCUCUGUCCUCAAGGAAGAUAAUGACGGUACUUGAGGAGGAAGCCCCGGCUAACUACGUGCCAGCAGCCGCGGUAAUACGUAGGGGGCUAGCGUUAUCCGGAAUUACUGGGCGUAAAGGGUGCGUAGGUGGUUUUUUAAGUCAGAAGGGAAAGGCUACGGAUCAACCGUAGUAAGCUGUUGAAACUAAAGAACUUGAGUGCAGGAGAGGAGAGUAGAAUUCCUAGUGUAGCGGUGAAAUGCGUAGAUAUUAGGAGGAAUGCCAGUAGCGAAGGGGGCUCUCUGGACUGUAACUGACACUGAGGCACGAAAGCGUGGGGAGCAAACA